rnacentral:tRNA from 1 species
AUAUUGGUGGUUCAGUGGUAGAAUUAUUGCCUUCCAUGUGGGAGAGCUGAGUUUGAUUCCCAGUCAAUGUA